GAUGAACGCUGGCGGCGUGCCUAAUACAUGCGAGUCGAGCGAAUGGACGAGAAGCUUGCUUCUCUGAUGUUAGCAGCGGACGGGUGAGUAACACGUGGAUAACCUACCUAUAAGACUGGGAUAACUUCGGGAAACCGGAGCUAAUACCGGAUAAUAUUUUGAACCGCAUGGUUCAAAAGUGAAAGACGGUCUUGCUGUCACUUAUAGAUGGAUCCGCGCUGCAUUAGCUAGUUGGUAAGGUAACGGCUUACCAAGGCAACGAUGCAUAGCCGACCUGAGAGGGUGAUCGGCCACACUGGAACUGAGACACGGUCCAGACUCCUACGGGAGGCAGCAGUAGGGAAUCUUCCGCAAUGGGCGAAAGCCUGACGGAGCAACGCCGCGUGAGUGAUGAAGGUCUUCGGAUCGUAAAACUCUGUUAUUAGGGAAGAACAUAUGUGUAAGUAACUGUGCACAUCUUGACGGUACCUAAUCAGAAAGCCACGGCUAACUACGUG
rnacentral:rRNA from 1 species